CCGGGAUGUGCCCCGGGAGCGGCGGCAUCUUUUCUGCCCCGAUACCGCUUUGGAGACCCCAAGGCCUGGCUGAGGUGCCAGACUCACUCCUGGCCGAGCUCCGGCCUCGCUGGGUAGUGAAGGUAACAGAUACAUGCAUGGACAGAACCUUGUGAAAAAGAAAUCUACCAGAAGAUUGGUCCAUCAACUCAUUGCUAAGGUCCUCUGCCACUGAGGGGAUACACAAAAGAAACUGGGAGAGAGCAUAGCUGGGACAGGUGACCCAGACUGACCAAAGUGAUAUUCCACACCAAAGAACAUCAUGCCUGGCAUAUAAACUGGGGGAAGUUGCCUGGAAGGGAGGAUUAUCUGUGUUCAGGAAGGGGAGUCUGGUAUUGGUCAGCAGAUGUAAUUAGACCCUACUGGUCUAUGAAGAUAAGAAAAUUUCACUGUGUUGGAAACCGUGAAGGAGAGUCCAGUUGGGCAUUUUUUUACCUUUCCUUGGAGGCAGAAUUGAAUUACAGCCAAAAUCAGUGAUCUUUACUACCAUGCGAUUGUCUACUACACAGUUUGUGGAUUUGAGUCGACCAUGGACUUCAGUUUUGCUUGAGUGCAGCAGCUUCAAACAAGGACAUACCAAGGGGAAUAUUUGAAAGAUGUUUCAGAUCCACUGACAACAUGGCAUGUUAUGGGGCCCAAGGGAUGGAUGAGAAUGGGACUGGAGCAACAUCAAGAAGACAGGAGCCAGAAAGCACAGAGCUCAUGGAGCUGAGUCAGCUCUUCUCAGAGCCCCCUGAAUCUGCACAGUGAUGUGUCCUCUCCCCAGCUCCUUGCAAGAAGGAUAAAGGGGCAAGCAGGUACAUGCUUCAUGCUCCAUCAGAUGCUCCAUCAGAUAACAGAAAUACAGAGUCAGAUAACUCAUCAUAACCUUAAUUCUGCUGCCUUUCCCGAACAGUCUUCCAAGCGGUUCACAUCACUACCACCUUAUAGUGAAGAUUAUUUGUUUGGGGGUGACUUUCUGUGAAAUACCCCAUGGUAUUUCCCAUAAUCACUGGUACAGGAUCAAGUUUGCAAGAGACUUAGUAGUCUCUUACUAAACAGAAAUAAACAGAAAUAAAGGUUUUGAACUGGACUGGAGGCAGAGAAUGUGGGGGGAUGAGGCAGGAGAAAGAAAGAUGCUAUUCUGCACCCAGCUGAAAGCAUGCUGGAUCAUACAGCAGGUAGAUCUCAGGACUGUGUGACUCGUCUUCAAAGAGGUAGGUGGUAAGUUUAAUGGGUGCCUCACCAGUGUCUGGAGUAUCACUGGGCAGCCUGUGGUUCUUCCAGAUAAAAUCAGGACUGUUA